UUGCUCUGAUUUGCUUAUUGCACCACAUGUGUUUUUUAUUGAACAAAUUUCUUUGGUGGCGGGAGCAAUCCUACCGCCAGAGGUUAUAACUAAACCAAACUUUUUAUUUACAGUCAAACUUGAUUUAUUAUUACAAUAGUCAAAACUUUCAACAACGGAUCUCUUGGUUCUCGCAUCGAUGAAGAACGCAGCGAAAUGCGAUACGUAAUAUGAAUUGCAGAUAUUCGUGAAUCAUCGAAUCUUUGAACGCACAUUGCGCCCUUUGGUAUUCCAAAGGGCAUGCCUGUUUGAGCGUCAUUUCUCCCUCAAACCCCCGGGUUUGGUGUUGAGCAAUACGCUAGGUUUGUUUGAAAGAAUUUAACGUGGAAACUUAUUUUAAGCGACUUAGGUUUAUCCAAAAACGCUUAUUUUGCUAGUGGCCACCACAAUUUAUUUCAUAACUUUGACCUCAAAUCAGGUAGGACUACCCGCUGAACUUAAGCAUAUCAAUAAGCGGAGGAA
rnacentral:rRNA from 1 species